rnacentral:rRNA from 1 species
UCGGACCUACGGGGGGCAGCAGUCGAGAAUCAUUCACAAUGGGGGAAACCCUGAUGGUGCGACGCCGCGUAUAGGAAGAAGGUUUUCGGAUUGUAAACUAUUGUCGUGAGGGAAGAAGAUGACAGUACCUCAGGAGGAAGCUCCGGCUAACUAUGUGCCAGCAGCCGCGGUAAUACAUAGGGAGCAAGCGUUAUCCGGAAUUAUUGGGUGUAAAGGGUGCGUAGACGGGAAAUUAAGUUAGUUGUGAAAUCCCUUGGCUUAACUGAGGAACUGCAACUAAAACUGAUUUUCUUGAGUACUGGAGG